rnacentral:rRNA from 1 species
GAGGGUGCAAGCGUUACUCGGUAUCACUGGGCGUAAAGAGCGCGUAGGCGGAAUAGCAAGUCAGAUGUGAAAUCCUAUGGCUUAACCAUAGAACUGCAUUUGAAACUGUUAUUCUAGAGUAUGGGAGAGGUAGGUGGAAUUCUUGGUGUAGGGGUAAAAUCCGUAGAGAUCAAGAGGAAUACUCAUUGCGAAGGCGACCUGCUAGAACAUAACUGACGCUGAUGCGAGAAAGCGUGGGGAGCAAA